rnacentral:rRNA from 1 species
UACGUAGGGCGCAAGCGUUAUCCGGAAUUAUUGGGCGUAAAGAGCUCGUAGGCGGUUUGUUGCGUCGGCUGUGAAAUCCCCGAGGCUCAACCUCGGGUCUGCAGUCGAUACGAGCAAACUAGAGUGUUGCAGGGGAGACUGGAAUUCCUGGUGAUAGCGGUGAAAUGCGCAGAUAUCAGGAGGAACACCGGUGGCGAAGGCGACGCCUGGACCGGCAUUGACGCGUGAGGCGCGAAAGCCCAGGGGAGCAAACGGGG